ACGGCGACGUGUCCGCGGCCUCUCGCCCACUCUGGGGCAAGACGGUCCUCUUCAGCUCUGCCAAUUAGUCCCACCUCACCUUCCUCCGCCGCAGAGCCGCGCUUUCUGCAAAUUGACGGGAAAGGAGGAAUCGUUGGGUCGUGGACACAUGGGCCGUCUCCCGUUGUGCAAACACCGGGGAGGAGGGGGCACCGAUCAAUUUGCAGGGCUGAGCGGCGGCGGCCCUGGGAGGAGAGGCGGGCGCUGUGCCCGGGCUGGUGUGAGAAUUAAUGAAGGCAGCUUGGAAGACGGAGGAGCACGGGCAUUUGAAAUGAAGCCCAGCGGGUUGCGAGAGUUCAGGAUGAAUUUCAAAAUGCAGAGAUUGCGGGCCACGGGCUAAUUAUCUCACAGGGACCGGCUGGGAGGCUGCAUCCAGGCAGCUCAGAGUGUCCAGGUGGAAGGUGGAAAACCCGGCGCGGGGCAGUGGUUUGGCAGAGUGGGGCUGCCUGGGCCCUGGCCCCCCUGUGGGGGCUGCACAGCCUCUGAGGGCCCGUCCUGCCUGUCCUUCAUCACCUGCAGCAUGUACACGAGCACCGUCCCUCCCAAGAUGGCCUUUAUCCUGUGACAGUGCAGC
rnacentral:lncRNA from 1 species